UGUAUGGCAUUAUCAUUGAUAAUGUUUUUGUUAUUUUUCAGAAUGCAGUUGGUUUGACUCUUAAUGUAGCUCAAUUGUCUCUAUUCGUGAUAUUCCCAUCCAAAAUGUCACAAGUUGAAUUAUUGAAUGAGCAGAGUAAAGAAGAUUGAUUUUUUAAACUUAAAAAUAAAUGUUUUUUUAUUUGAAA